rnacentral:misc_RNA from 1 species
GUGAAUCAUCGAAUUUUUGAACGCAAAUUGCGCCUUUUUCGGAAGGCAUGUCUGUUUGAGGGCACCAUUUAACAUAUAAUGUGAAGCGUUUUUUGCUGCACACGUUGAUGAGCUUUCCAAGAAUUUUAAAUUUUUGGUGGCGCAUAAUGAACAGCGUGAAAGUGUUUUUUAGUUAGAGUGGAGUAAAAUAUUUUCUUGGGUUUUGAAAAAACAUAA